CCUUCGAUAGCUCAGUUGGUAGAGCGGUGGACUGUAGUUGGUUAAAAACAAUGGGAAUCCAUAGGUCGCUGGUUCAAAUCCGGCUCGAAGGA
rnacentral:tRNA from 1 species